GACGAACGCUGGCGGCGUGCCUAAUACAUGCAAGUAGAACGCACAGUUUAUACCUUAGCUUGCUACACCAUAGACUGUGAGUUGCGAACGGGUGAGUAACGCGUAGGUAACCUGCCUGGUAACGGGGGAUAACUAUUGGAAACGAUAGCUAAUACCGCAUAAUAUUAAUUAUUGCAUGAUAAUUAAUUGAAAGGUGCAAUUGCACCACUACCAGAUGGACCUGCGUUGUAUUAGCUAGUAGGUGAGGUAACGGCUCACCUAGGCGACGAUACAUAGCCGACCUGAGAGGGUGAUCGGCCACACGGGGACUGGGACACGGCCCAGAAUCCUACGGGAGGCAGCAGUAGGGAAUGUUCGGCAAUGGAAGAAAGUAUGACCGAGCAAGGCCGCGUGAGUGAAGAAGGUUCUCGGAUCGUAAAGCUCUGUUGUAAGAGAAGAACGGGUGUGAGAGUGGAAAGUUCACACUGUGACGGUAUCUUAACAGAAAGGGACGGCUAACUACGUG
rnacentral:rRNA from 1 species